CAAGUCUGACAGGGAGCCGUUGGUCGAAGUCUCCAACCAACCAACCCCUGCAAGAACCUCACCCAUCAAAACUAUUUGGGGGACUCUGGAAAAUGACAAGAAAUAAUUUUUACUUGAGAGCGGCUCUCUGACAAAGCUCUCCUAUCAGAAAGGACAAAAUGAGGGAUGAGUAUCUGGCUAACAGCGGCCCCUUUAUAUAGGAAUGUCCGACGGCCCAGAUGAAAGCGGUCAAAUCGAAAACACGCUGGAUCACGACAUGUGGCAACAUCUGGGCCUACCAUGGAUCAGAUGGAUCGACACACCUGCCCCAGAUUGAACCAUGUCAUCCCUAUCCACAUGAACGUCUCCGACCCAAUGGCACCUCGACAUGUGGCAAAAAUCUACAUACCAGAAUUAAAUCCCACGACAUCGGUUCACAUUCUCGAUACGACGCCUGACACUAGAUCCUCCUGCCGAUACGAUGGCUCAAAAGCGACAAAAUGACUAUUUGACCGUACUCCAACGAAAGUGGUGUCAGAGCCGGGAUUCAACAUGACAAACAACAAUACCUUUCGUCCAAAGCGAUAUUAACCACAUGACGACGCACGCGAUGAUUCACCAUUGGACUUGGGAGUGGGGGGCAAUUGUUGGAGUAAAUCGACCAACCUCCAUAAACCGACCGAUCUCCGACACACAUCGACCGACGCCCGACUCUGACCCACUAAACUAACAAAUAAUCUUGGAAGCAAUUACCGACUAUAUGUCAGCUGAGCAGACCGACGCUACUCUUGACCGACCAACCGAAUACCCCUCACCGAAUCAAGAUCGAUAGGCGAUCGAUGUUCGGACUCUACAGACAAUAAACUACUUCGGCUGUCGGUAUUUCAGAGUAACUAACCGACAACCGACUCCCGACGCACAGUCGGCCGAUUCAU
rnacentral:lncRNA from 1 species